rnacentral:rRNA from 1 species
AGAUUAAGUUAUUAAGGGCGCACGGUGGAUGCCUUGGCACUAGAAGCCGAUGAAGGACGUUACUAACGACGAUAUGCUUUGGGGAGCUGUAAGUAAGCUUUGAUCCAGAGAUUUCCGAAUGGGGAAACCCAGCAUGAGUUAUGUCAUGUUAUCGAUAUGUGAAUACAUAGCAUAUCAGAAGGCACACCCGGAGAACUGAAACAUCUUAGUAACCGGAGGAAGAGAAAGAAAAUUCGAUUCCCUUAGUAGCGGCGAGCGAAACGGGAAGAGCCCAAACCAACAAGCUUGCUUGUUGGGGUUGUAGGACACUCUAUACGGAGUUACAAAGGACGACAUUAGACGAAUCAUCUGGAAAGAUGAAUCAAAGAAGGUAAUAAUCCUGUAGUCGAAAAUGUUGUCUCUCUUGAGUGGAUCCUGAGUACGACGGAGCACGUGAAAUUCCGUCGGAAUCUGGGAGGACCAUCUCCUAAGGCUAAAUACUCUCUAGUGACCGAUAGUGAACCAGUACCGUGAGGGAAAGGUGAAAAGCACCCCGGAAGGGGAGUGAAAUAGAACCUGAAACCGUGUGCUUACAAGUAGUCAGAGCCCGUUAAUGGGUGAUGGCGUGCCUUUUGUAGAAUGAACCGGCGAGUUACGAUUUGAUGCAAGGUUAAGCAGUAAAUGUGGAGCCGUAGCGAAAGCGAGUCUGAAUAGGGCGUUUAGUAUUUGGUCGUAGACCCGAAACCAGGUGAUCUACCCUUGGUCAGGUUGAAGUUCAGGUAACACUGAAUGGAGGACCGAACCGACUUACGUUGAAAAGUGAGCGGAUGAACUGAGGGUAGCGGAGAAAUUCCAAUCGAACCUGGAGAUAGCUGGUUCUCUCCGAAAUAGCUUUAGGGCUAGCCUCAAGUGAUGAUUAUUGGAGGUAGAGCACUGUUUGGACGAGGGGCCCUCUCGGGUUACCGAAUUCAGACAAACUCCGAAUGCCAAUUAAUUUAACUUGGGAGUCAGAACAUGGGUGAUAAGGUCCGUGUUCGAAAGGGAAACAGCCCAGACCACCAGCUAAGGUCCCAAAAUAUAUGUUAAGUGGAAAAGGAUGUGGCGUUGCCCAGACAACUAGGAUGUUGGCUUAGAAGCAGCCAUCAUUUAAAGAGUGCGUAAUAGCUCACUAGUCGAGUGACACUGCGCCGAAAAUGUACCGGGGCUAAACAUAUUACCGAAGCUGUGGAUUGUCCUUUGGACAAUGGUAGGAGAGCGUUCUAAGGGCGUUGAAGCAUGAUCGUAAGGACAUGUGGAGCGCUUAGAAGUGAGAAUGCCGGUGUGAGUAGCGAAAGACGGGUGAGAAUCCCGUCCACCGAUUGACUAAGGUUUCCAGAGGAAGGCUCGUCCGCUCUGGGUUAGUCGGGUCCUAAGCUGAGGCCGACAGGCGUAGGCGAUGGAUAACAGGUUGAUAUUCCUGUACCACCUAUAAUCGUUUUAAUCGAUGGGGGGACGCAGUAGGAUAGGCGAAGCGUGCGAUUGGAUUGCACGUCUAAGCAGUAAGGCUGAGUAUUAGGCAAAUCCGGUACUCGUUAAGGCUGAGCUGUGAUGGGGAGAAGACAUUGUGUCUUCGAGUCGUUGAUUUCACACUGCCGAGAAAAGCCUCUAGAUAGAAAAUAGGUGCCCGUACCGCAAACCGACACAGGUAGUCAAGAUGAGAAUUCUAAGGUGAGCGAGCGAACUCUCGUUAAGGAACUCGGCAAAAUGACCCCGUAACUUCGGGAGAAGGGGUGCUCUUUAGGGUUAACGCCCAGAAGAGCCGCAGUGAAUAGGCCCAAGCGACUGUUUAUCAAAAACACAGGUCUCUGCUAAACCGUAAGGUGAUGUAUAGGGGCUGACGCCUGCCCGGUGCUGGAAGGUUAAGAGGAGUGGUUAGCUUCUGCGAAGCUACGAAUCGAAGCCCCAGUAAACGGCGGCCGUAACUAUAACGGUCCUAAGGUAGCGAAAUUCCUUGUCGGGUAAGUUCCGACCCGCACGAAAGGCGUAACGAUUUGGGCACUGUCUCAACGAGAGACUCGGUGAAAUCAUAGUACCUGUGAAGAUGCAGGUUACCCGCGACAGGACGGAAAGACCCCGUGGAGCUUUACUGUAGCCUGAUAUUGAAAUUCGGCACAGCUUGUACAGGAUAGGUAGGAGCCUUUGAAACGUGAGCGCUAGCUUACGUGGAGGCGCUGGUGGGAUACUACCCUAGCUGUGUUGGUUUUCUAACCCGCACCACUUAUCGUGGUGGGAGACAGUGUCAGGCGGGCAGUUUGACUGGGGCGGUCGCCUCCUAAAAGGUAACGGAGGCGCUCAAAGGUUCCCUCAGAAUGGUUGGAAAUCAUUCAUAGAGUGUAAAGGCAUAAGGGAGCUUGACUGCGAGACCUACAAGUCGAGCAGGGUCGAAAGACGGACUUAGUGAUCCGGUGGUUCCGCAUGGAAGGGCCAUCGCUCAACGGAUAAAAGCUACCCCGGGGAUAACAGGCUUAUCUCCCCCAAGAGUUCACAUCGACGGGGAGGUUUGGCACCUCGAUGUCGGCUCAUCGCAUCCUGGGGCUGUAGUCGGUCCCAAGGGUUGGGCUGUUCGCCCAUUAAAGCGGUACGCGAGCUGGGUUCAGAACGUCGUGAGACAGUUCGGUCCCUAUCCGUCGUGGGCGUAGGAAAUUUGAGAGGAGCUGUCCUUAGUACGAGAGGACCGGGAUGGACAUACCUCUGGUGUACCAGUUGUCGUGCCAACGGCAUAGCUGGGUAGCUAUGUGUGGACGGGAUAAGUGCUGAAAGCAUCUAAGCAUGAAGCCCCCCUCAAGAUGAGAUUUCCCAACUUCGGUUAUAAGAUCCCUCAAAGAUGAUGAGGUUAAUAGGUUCGAGGUGGAAGCAUGGUGACAUGUGGAGCUGACGAAUACUAAUCGAUCGAAGACUUAAUCAAAUU